rnacentral:lncRNA from 1 species
AAAGUUUGUAUACGAAGCCGUCCAGGUUUCCUUCUAUUGGAAUUUUAUCAUGAAUAUCUGGAAGACAUCGUUCAUUACUCUGGAGAACCUCAUGUUUAUCAUUGGAGAUAUGCUUCAUAACCUUGGUAGUGCACUUGCUCACAAUAUACUAUGCCCCAGCAGAGACAUAUUUUCCAUUAAAAGUAGUUAGCUGGUUGUUUUCAGGGUUUGUAUUCUGUAAUUC